GAAUUCGCCCUUAGAGUUUGAUCCUGGCUCAGGACGAACGCUGGCGGCGCGCCUAACACAUGCAAGUCGAACGAGCGAGAGGAGGUUUGCUUUCUCAAGCGAGUGGCGAACGGGUGAGUAACGCGUGAGGAACCUGCCUCAAAGAGGGGGACAACAGUUGGAAACGACUGCUAAUACCGCAUAAGCCCACGACCCGGCAUCGGGUAGAGGGAAAAGGAGCAAUCCGCUUUGAGAUGGCCUCGCGUCCGAUUAGCUAGUUGGUGAGGUAAUGGCCCACCAAGGCGACGAUCGGUAGCCGGACUGAGAGGUUGAACGGCCACAUUGGGACUGAGACACGGCCCAGACUCCUACGGGAGGCAGCAGUGGGGAAUAUUGCACAAUGGGGGAAACCCUGAUGCAGCGACGCCGCGUGGAGGAAGAAGGUCUUCGGAUUGUAAACUCCUGUUGUUGAGGAAGAUAAUGACGGUACUCAACAAGGAAGUGACGGCUAACUACGUGCCAGCAGCCGCGGUAAAACGUAGGUCACAAGCGUUGUCCGGAAUUACUGGGUGUAAAGGGAGCGCAGGCGGGAAGACAAGUUGGAAGUGAAAUCCAUGGGCUCAACCCAUGAACUGCUUUCAAAACUGUUUUUCUUGAGUAGUGCAGAGGUAGGCGGAAUUCCCGGUGUAGCGGUGGAAUGCGUAGAUAUCGGGAGGAACACCAGUGGCGAAGGCGGCCUACUGGGCACCAACUGACGCUGAGGCUCGAAAGUGUGGGUAGCAAACAGGAUUAGAUACCCUGGUAGUCCACACUGUAAACGAAGAUUACUAGGUGUUGGGAGGAUUGACCCCUUCAGUGCCGCAGUUAACACAAUAAGUAAUCCACCUGGGGAGUACGACCGCAAGGUUGAAACUCAAAGGAAUUGACGGGGGCCCGCACAAGCAGUGGAGUAUGUGGUUUAAUUCGACGCAACGCGAAGAACCUUACCAAGUCUUGACAUCCUGCGACGGACAUAGAAAUAUGUUUUUCCUUCGGGACGCAGAGACAGGUGGUGCAUGGUUGUCGUCAGCUCGUGUCGUGAGAUGUUGGGUUAAGUCCCGCAACGAGCGCAACCCUUAUGGUCAGUUACUACGCAAGAGGACUCUGGCCAGACUGCCGUUGACAAAACGGAGGAAGGUGGGGAUGACGUCAAAUCAUCAUGCCCUUUAUGACUUGGGCUACACACGUACUACAAUGGCGUUAAACAAAGAGAAGCAAGACCGCGAGGUGGAGCAAAACUCAGAAACAACGUCCCAGUUCGGACUGCAGGCUGCAACUCGCCUGCACGAAGUCGGAAUUGCUAGUAAUCGCAGAUCAGCAUGCUGCGGUGAAUACGUUCCCGGGCCUUGUACACACCGCCCGUCA
rnacentral:rRNA from 1 species